CGUAAAAUUACACGUGUUGGUGCUCGCGGCGUGGUUCGCAUGCCGCAGUUCAACGGGAAGCAGGGAAGGCGCCUCCGCCAUGGAGCGUGUCCUGUGCCUGCGCUGCCCCCGCAACGGUCAGCGGAUGAGUCGCACGCCGGCUCCACUUUCAUACACACGCCACUGGGUGCCUUGAACAAGCCCCUGGGAAGGCCAUGGAAGCUGUUCCGCCAGCCCGGAUACCGGCCAACAUGGUGGCCGUGCG
rnacentral:ncRNA from 2 species